CUCAUAUUUAAGUGAAGGAGAAACAGGAAGGGCCUUCUUUUCCCCUCCACUCCUGCUCCAGCAGUACAAUGUGAUCCACCAGCAAGGAGGGACACCGUCAAGGUGAUGGAACUGAGGCUUGAAGAAGAUAAAGAAGUUGCCCAGAUCAAAUAGUACCUAAAAAAUCCAGAAUCUGAGCUCAUAAAAGAUAAUAAGAAGGAGGUCAGAGGCAACCAAUGGCAAGUCUACAGGCAGAGCUAUCUCUAAAAACUGCAAAGAAAUAUAUAACCCAGAGUUCCUCAGCCAGCAACACCACCACACUUCCUUACAGCAAGUACAGGGCCUGCAAGAGUUUGUACCAGUUUGUGUGUGUGAUAUAUAUAUAUAUAUAUAUAUAUAUAUAUAUAUAUAUAUAUUAUGGCUGUUAGCUUGGUGUUUAUAUACAACUCCUCACAGUAGGAACAGGUAUGGCUCUGAUUCUUUUGCCUGCUCUUGGGACUCUUUUUCUCCUAUUGGGUUGCCUUCUCCAAGCUCAAUAUGAGGCCUUUGCCUCAUCUUACUGUAUCUUGUUAUGCUGUGUUUGGUUAUUGUCUCUUAGAAGCCUGCUCUUUUCUAAAGGGAAAUGGGGUUAGUGGAUCUUGGGGGGAGGGGAGGUUGGAGGGCUGGGAAGUGUGGAAGGAGGGAACUGUAAUUCAGAUGUAUUGGAUGAGAGAAAAAUCUGUUUACAAUCAAAUAAAUAAAUAAACAAAAGAAUACUGAACAUCAAAAAAAAAUAAGAAAGAAAGAAAGAAAGAAAUUUCAUCCUAAGCAUGAAUCAAAAGGACUGUCAUAUUAGGUAAGAAUUAACUGGGAAAUUGAGCUAACUAGAAAGUUGUCUUGCUCACAUAUCCCUACUCAACAAGAUGUUAUUGCUUGGGAAUGUUAUAGAACAAUGGCAGGACUGGAUAAAAUCAUCACGAAUGUGAAUAACGUUUUGUGAGAUUAGCAUCCAUUUAAAGUUUUCAGUAAAUAAGUUAUAGCAGAGCUAAAAUUUAGCUGCUGCUUGGCAUGUCCCAACACAAAAAGAAAAAAAAUGCUUGGUAAAGAGUGAGCUGAUAGCUGUGGGUGGAAGAAAUAGCACCAACAUCCUUUAAAAUGCAUUGGGGCAUCAGAUUUGUGCCAGUUUUAGAGAGAGGGCAACAGCAGAGAAGGUGCUUAACAUCCCUUCUGUUACGUAGAAAACAUUAUUUACAAAAUCAGAUGUGCUCAAAUUCAGAGCACAAAACUGUGUGUCCUUUCUGAGACAAAAUAUUAAAGAUGGAUAAAUAUUUGGGAAAAGAGAACUGUCAGUAUUUCAUUUUUAAAUAAAAUGUCGACAUCUCUAACCUCGGUUAUUUCUGGUUUGUAGAAGAUGAUGUGCUGCAAAGCUAAUCCUUAGUCCCUAUAACAAGAUGCAGCCACAAUCAUAGCAGGAUGCUAGCAACCAAGUCCAGAGACUUGGCUGGAAGAAGUGGUGCUGUGUACAUCCCCUACAUGCCCCUGGGGGACUGUCAGUGAGGUUUGGCUCUCUAACAGGGCAAAUUUCAUGCUGGCUUGAGCUUGAUACCCCUGUGUUUCUAUUGAAUUUUAUUUACAAAGUAACAUGCAAAGCCCUAGAAUACAAUUUCAAGGACUUUCUUUCAGGGUGGGAUAAAGACUGAGGAUGGGGACAGGUGUGUGUGUGUGUGUGUGUGUGUGUGUGUGUGUGUG
rnacentral:lncRNA from 1 species